GAUGAACGCUGGCGGCGUGCCUAAUACAUGCAAGUCGAGCGAACGGACGAGAAGCUUGCUUCUCUGAUGUUAGCGGCGGACGGGUGAGUAACACGUGGAUAACCUACCUAUAAGACUGGGAUAACUUCGGGAAACCGGAGCUAAUACCGGAUGAUAUUUUGAACCGCAUGGUUCAAAAGUGAAAGACGGUCUUGCUGUCACUUAUAGAUGGAUCCGCGCUGCAUUAGCUAGUUGGUAAGGUAACGGCUUACCAAGGCAACGAUGCAUAGCCGACCCGAGAGGGUGAUCGGCCACACUGGAACUGGGACACGGUCCAGACUCCUACGGGAGGCAGCAGUAGGGAAUCUUCCGCAAUGGGCGAAAGCCUGACGGAGCAACGCCGCGUGAGUGAUGAAGGUCUUCGGAUCGUAAAACUCUGUUAUUAGGGAAGAACAUAUGUGUAAGUAACUGUGCACAUCUUGACGGUACCUAAUCAGAAAGCCACGGCUAACUACGUG
rnacentral:rRNA from 1 species